rnacentral:rRNA from 1 species
CUACGGGCUGCAGCAGGCGCGAAACCUUUACAAUGCACGUAAGUGUGAUAAGGGGACUCUCAGUGCUCUAGCUUAGCUAGGGCUUUUGCCAAGGGUAAAUACUUUGGCGAAUAAGUGGUGGGUAAGACGGGUGCCAGCCGCCGCGGUAACGCCUGCGCCACAAGUGGCAUUCGCGUUUAUUGGGCCUAAAGCGUUCGUAGCCUGAUUAGUCAGUCUUGAGUGAAAUCGUUGCGCUUAACAAAACGGCGUGCUUGGGAUACUGCUAAUCUAGGGACCGGGAGGCGUAAGAGGUAUUCUCAAGGGAGCGGUAAUAUGCUAUAAUCUUGAGAGGACCACCUGUGGCGAAGGCGUCUUACGAGAACGGGUCCGACGGUGAGGAACGAAAGCUAGGGGAGCAAACCGGAUUAGAUACCCCGGUAGUC